rnacentral:rRNA from 1 species
GACGAACGCUGGCGGCGUGCCUAAUACAUGCAAGUCGAACGCAGUGGGGACGGGUGAUUAACACCUGGGUAACCUCCCAUCAGAGCGGAUAACACUUUGAAACCGGUCCUAAACCGACACUGAUCGAUGGACCCGCGGUGCAUUAGCUAGUUGGAGGGGUACCGGCUCACCAAGACCACGAUGCAUAGCCGACCUUAGAGGGUGAUCGGCCAAACUGGGACUGAGACACGGCCCAGACUCCUACGGGAGGCAGCAGUAGGGAAUCUUCGGCAAUGGACGAAAGUCUGACCGAGCAACGCCGCGUGAGUGAAGAAGGUUUUCGGAUCGUAAAACUCUGUUGUUAGAGAAGCGGUAUCUAACCAGAAAGCCACGGCUAACUACGUGCCAGCAGCCGCGGUAAUAC